rnacentral:lncRNA from 1 species
GACACUGACCCGGCCUUUGUCAUCCCUUAUCGCUGCUCCACCCUGUUUGUCUACAGCUGCUGGUUACACCCAAGUGUCUGUUCGUUGGCUGGUUGAUUUGGAGGUCCCUCCAGGGAGGCGAUUGAGAAGAGCCAUCCAUCCCUGCUGCAUGACUUCCAGUCCAAGAGAGAGGAGAGAGGUCCUGGUCCUGCUGGGGUCUCUCUGGACUUCACACACAUCCCAUAUGGUUCUGAAGGAUUGAGCAACACAGCAUCUACGUUGGUGGCUGACUUAAUAACCCUUCCUUGAACUGGUUUUUCUCUUCCUAGUUUGUGUUUCCAGGCCACUGCUAUUGGUCCUUGAACUCUACUCCCUAAUAAAAUAUUCAUAUUGAA